AUACGGGGGGAGCAAGCGUUGUCCGGAAUCACUGGGCGUAAAGGGUGCGUAGGCGGAUCGGUCAGUCAGUGGUGAAAUCCCAUAGCUUAACUAUGGAACUGCCAUUGAUACUGCCAAUCUCGAGUAUAGUUGAAGUGGAUGGAAUGUAACAUGUAGCGGUGAAAUGCAUAGAUAUGUUACAGAACACCGAUUGCGAAGGCAGUUCACUAAACUAUUACUGACGCUGAGGCACGAAAGCGUGGUGAGCGAACAGGAUUAGAAACCCCAGUAGUCC
rnacentral:rRNA from 1 species